CCCCCCUCCCCUCAGUAGAGCGAACAAUGUAUCCCAGAGAGGAAAUUUAACCUCUUCCAGCCUGGAUCCCACCCCGGCGCACGGUGGGUUGCUGUGUUUGGAGCUCAGAGAGGGAAUACAAGAUUGUUUCCCGCUCGUAUGAUGUGUCCCAGCGUCGAGUGGGAACCGAGGCGCCCCCCCGCGGGCACCCUGCUGGGGCAUCCCUCCAUCAAACGCCGCCAGACCCCGAGAAAAACGGCCGAGGCCCCCGUGAGGAGGCGGGAGGGAGGAGCUGGUGCUGGGGUGACACGAGGGCCCCCGGUGAAAAGACCAAGGAGCCCAGCAGCUCGCCCUUCCUCCCGACUGGGCGCUCUGAAUGGCCUUUCAGUCCCAGGCUUAGCAGCGCUCAAAACAAGAUGGCAUACAAAACACAACCGACACGCAACACACACUCUCUCUCUCUCUCCCCCUCUCCCUCUCUCCCUCUCUCUCUCUCUCUCUCUCUCUCUCUCUCUCUCCCCCUCUCCCUCUCUCCCUCUCUCUCUCUCUCUCUCUCUCUCUCUCUCUCUCUCUCUCUCUCGGAACAGGGGGUGGUGUGUAUUCAUAAACUAUUAUUAUAGUGACAUUCAAGCAGCAUUGCUUUUGAUUUCCACUCCUCCAUUGAGUUAAUCAAUGGACUUACCGUCUGAAGACAACAAAGUGUCAGUGUUGGAGAGGUGCUUUGUGCAGGGAGAAGUACCGGGAGACCGAAGAAGAAGCAGUUGAAAGUAGUAGAUUUGUUACUUAUUACACUUCACCCAUACUAAAUUCGUUUUUUCCAGCUUUGAAGAUUUAUUUAUGUACUGUGCGCCGACUUAUAUUUCUCUUCAAAAGAAACUCCACCGAAUUGAAAAAAUGUGCUGUCUUUGUCCGCUUUUUAACAAGCCUCCGAGGAGCUCAGUGCAAAGGCAAUCGAUGAAUGACGGGGAGGAAAUAAGACUGUUUUAUUGAGUUCUCAAAACAUAAAAAACGAAAAAUAAAAAUCUGCAAAUAACUCUA